rnacentral:rRNA from 1 species
UACGAAGGGUGCAAGCGUUACUCGGAAUUACUGGGCGUAAAGCGUGCGUAGGUGGUGAGUUAAGUCUGUCGUGAAAGCCCCGGGCUCAACCUGGGAAUGGCGAUGGAUACUGGCUCGCUAGAGUGCGGUAGAGGAGAGUGGAAUUCCCGGUGUAGCAGUGAAAUGCGUAGAGAUCGGGAGGAACAUCAGUUGCGAAGGCGGCUCUCUGGACCAGCACUGACACUGAGGCACGAAAGCGUGGGGGAGCAAAACGGG